GCCAGGCUGGUGGCACACGCCUGUAAUCCCAGCCACUAGGGAGGCUGAGGCAGAAGGAUCAUGUGUUCAAAGACAGCCUCACCCACUUAGGGAGGCCCUAAGCAACACAGUGAGACCCUGUCUCUA
rnacentral:sRNA from 1 species